UCUAGAAAAUGGAGCAAUCAUUUGUAAGAUUAGGAAGAAAUAGAAAAUUUUCAUGAUUAUUGUGGUGAGUGUUGGCGUGUACGUCAAAGAAAAAGUUAAUAAAAUUUCCCUCAAUCAACAGAAUGAGCUAGUUUGUCUAAACUCUAUUUAUCUCAAGUCUAUAAGGAAAAUAGAACUAAGUAGUCUUUUGCAGGGAUUUCAAGCUUUAAUUAAAAUGAAAAGUAACAUAGAAAGAGCAAAGAAAAAUUGGCAAGAUUAUAAACAACUAGAUAUAUAAAAUUGAGAUCCUGAUGUGUGGAAAUUCUAAAGAAAUUAAACAUGAGACGAAUUAACUUGGCAGUUGCAUUUCCAAUUAAAACUAUAAGUACUGAUUCUACAAAAAAUUUUAACCAAAAAAAAAAAAAUCACUCAGCAAUGGAUUCAAUCAUUAUUAACAUUGAUUUUACAAAAACAAAAAAAAAAAUCAACCCUAAUUCAGAAGUCAAAUACAAAUUCAAAAAUCAAACCCAAAUUCGAAUUUCGAAAAUCAAACUUGUGGUUUGAUGAUUCAAGAUGGUAUGAGCAUGCACAAUAGUGGUGUUGCACGAUGGGGUGGUGAUGGAGCUAGGGGUGGCAAAACGAAUAAACGAAUCGAAUUUGAAUCGAAUUGUAAACGAAUUGGGUUAAAAUUCUGCGGAUUCGGAUUCGAUUCAUUUAUUAAACGAAUAUUCGGUUCAAUUCGUUUAAUUCAUUUAAUAUAAUUGAUAAACGAAUCGAAUCGAAUCUGAAUUCGUUUAUUAUUCGUUUAUCCUUAACGAGUCGAACCGAAUCGAAUCGAAUCAGGAUUCGUUUACAAUUCGUUUAGAAAAAUAUAAUUAAUAAACAAAAUUAAGUAAAAUUAAAUAUAAAAAAUCACAAUUUUAACAUCCCACAACAAAAUACAAGUAACUCAAACCAUAUUAUGCAGUCAUCUAAAUACCAAAUACCAAAUCCCUAAUAAUACAAAUAACAAUAAUUAAAAUUCAAAGUAUAAAGUAAGGUAAUUUCUUUAAUUCUCUUCAUUUGUUUUUUUCACCUUGAAAACAAAAAUCCUACACCAAAAAGUAAAUAAAAAUGUUAUUAACAAUUUAACAUACUGCAAUAUUGAUAAUAAUCAUUGUAAAAUUUCAAAAUAUCAAAUAUAUAGCAAAUUUGUAGUAUUUUUAAGGAAAUAAUAAUUAAACAAGACAAAACUUUACCUAUCACACUCACACAAAUCCAAGGAUUUGGAGCAGUGGCAAAACGUAACACUUGCUGGAUGUAAGUAACUCAAACCAUAUUAUGCAGUCAUCUAAAUACCAAAUACCAAAUCCCUAAUAAUACAAAUAACAAUAAUUAAAAUUCAAAGUAUAAAGUAAGGUAAUUUCUUUAAUUCUCUUCAUUUGUUUUUUUCACCUUGAAAACAAAAAUCCUACACCAAAAAGUAAAUAAAAAUGUUAUUAACAAUUUAACAUACUGCAAUAUUGAUAAUAAUCAUUGUAAAAUUUCAAAAUAUCAAAUAUAUAGCAAAUUUGUAGUAUUUUUAAGGAAAUAAUAAUUAAACAAGACAAAACUUUACCU
rnacentral:lncRNA from 1 species